AUUGAACGCUGGCGGCAGGCCUAACACAUGCAAGUCGAGCGAGCGGCGGACGGGUGAGUAAUGUAUGGGGACUGCCCGAUAGAGGGGGAUAACUACUGGAAACGGUAGCUAAAACCGCAUACUAUCGGAUAACCCAUAUGGGAUUAGCUGGUGGGUGAGGUAAUGGCUCACCUAGGGGACGAUCCCUAGCUGGUCUGCGAGGCUGAUCAGCCACACGGGGACUGGGACACGGCCCGGACUCCUACGGAGGCAGAAGUGGGGAAUAUUGCACAAUGGGCGCAAGCCGAAUGCAGCCAUGCCGCGUGGAUGAAGAAGGCCCUAGGGUUGUAAAGUACUUUCAGUCGGGAGGCGUUACCGAAAGAAGAAGCAACGGCUAACUCCGUGCCAGCAGCCGCGGUAAUUC
rnacentral:rRNA from 1 species